UUCCAACUUCAAAAAUCCAUAUAAAAUUGAAAAAUGAUCCAAAAAAUGUCUGGUUUUUUGCUACUUAAUCCUUGAGAUGUCUAGAAUUUUAUGAUGUUAAAUUUUAAAGUUGUGCAUGGCUGGAUUUUGAUUGGUGUUAGAAUAUGUGAACAUGUGUGCUUGUGUGACCUUGCUCCACUCUUCCUAUUGUGAAAUGCUUGAUUUUAAUCCAAUGGACAUAAAAUUUUGCAUGAUG
rnacentral:lncRNA from 1 species